rnacentral:misc_RNA from 1 species
AAAAAAAAAAAAAAAAUGAAGCCAUGCCAUACUUCAAAGAGCUAUGUUUCAGGGGAAAGAUCUUCUCAAGGUUCUCCAUGAAGUUGCUUUAACCAUCUUAACCCUACACUAUCUACUAAAUAUUAACUCCAAAGCUCAAAUCCUUCGAUGUAAAAAGCCAACUAAAGCAUUCAGCUAGUUCAAUCAAGGUUAUAGGCUUUCCUAAAUAAGUAGGCAGCCAGAUUCAAGAGUAAAAAAACCAUCAAAAAUUCAUGUUGAGUGAUUAUCAAGUGCAAAAAGAAACUAAACAAGCCUUGCAAAUA